AGUACGGCGAGUGAACCGGGAAAAGCUCAAAUUUGUAAUCUGGCUGUCUUCGAUAGUCCGAGUUGUAAUCUAUAGACGUGUUUUCCGUGCUGGACCGUAUCUAAGUCCCUUGGAACAGGGUAUCAAAGAGGGUGACAAUCCCGUGCUUGAUACGACCACCAGUGCUCUGUGAUACACGCUCUACGAGUCGAGUUGU
rnacentral:rRNA from 1 species